rnacentral:rRNA from 1 species
CCUACGGGAGGCAGCAGUGAGGAAUAUUGGUCAAUGGGCGCGAGCCUGAACCAGCCAAGUAGCGUGAAGGAGGACUGCCCUACGGGUUGUAAACUUCUUUUAUAAAGGAAUAAAGUGUGGCACGUGUGCCUUUUUGUAUGUACUUUAUGAAUAAGGAUCGGCUAACUCCGUGCCAGCAGCCGCGGUAAUACGGAGGAUCCGAGCGUUAUCCGGAUUUAUUGGGUUUAAAGGGAGCGUAGAUGGGUUGUUAAGUCAGUUGUGAAAGGAUGCGGCUCAACCGUAACAUUGCAUUUGAUACUGGCAGUCUUGAGUACAGUAGAGGUAGGCGGAAUUCGUGGUGUAGCGGUGAAAUGCUUAGAUAUCACGAAGAACUCCGAUUGCGAAGGCAGCUUACUAGACUGCCACUGACAUUGAUGCUCGAAAGUGUGGGUAUCAAACAGGAUUAGAUACCCGAGUAGUC